AAGCAGAGGAAGAUCCCAAAUCAAAAAGCGGAGGAUGUAUACCGAUGAGCAGAGGAAGACUCUCAAGAAGAAAAGGCGUGGAUGCGGCACCGAGAAAGAACGAAGCCAAAUGCGAUACGUAAUGGGAAUUGCAAAUUCAGUGAAUCAUCGAGUCUUUGAACGCACAUUGCGCCCCCUGGUAUUCCGGGGGGCAUGCCUGUCCGAGCGUCAUUGCUGCCCUCAAGCCCGGCUUGUGUGUUGGGCCCCGUCCUCCGAUUCCGGGGGACGGGCCCGAAAGGCAGCGGCGGCACCGCGUCCGGUCCUCGAGCGUAUGGGGCUUUGUCACCCGCUCUGUAGGCCCGGCCGGCGCUUGCCGAUCAACCCAAAUUUUUAUCCAGGUUGACCUCGGAUCAGGUAGGGAUACCCGCUGAACUUAAGCAUAUCAAUAGCGGAGGAACAUCUUGGGGGUCCCCUGCCCUUCUCCCGGAUACACCCCCGUAU
rnacentral:rRNA from 1 species